CUUUGAUGUCUGGGGAGCAUAGCGCAGACUUGCAGGCUCUCGGAGGUUUGUGAGUCACUUCGGAAGAGAGGGAAAGGCUGCUGGUGGUGUGAUGACUUGGCUAACAGAGCUCCUGAGUCAAUCCACACUGAGAUGACCACAUUCUGGCCUUCAGUCAGGUUCCAGGUUGUCAGUCUUGGCAGCAACUGCCUUUAUUCAGUGAACCAUCUCAUCUGAGCAUUCUCUAACGCUUGACUAUUGAUGGAAUGUGAUCAGUUGCCUCAAGUGCCUGUGGCUGUGACUUCCCCACUAGGAUGGGCUGCAACUUCAAACGGCACAGCCCUGGAAGAGAGAGCUCAGUGAGACACCGCUCAGUCGCUGUUUCUCCUGAUUGAAACACCACCUCCUGGCUGAGAAGAAGAGUAUAAAACUGGGGGAGUGAACGAAACUCACAAGGCUCAAGGAGUACACAGAACUGCAAGGCUCCGGAAGCUUUCCCAGCUCAGCAUAUUCACAAGACCCUUCCCCCACCCCGAGGGUGGAGGGUGAGGUGGGGGGGGGGGGAGGGUAGAAAGGCAGUCGUCACUGGUGUGAGAAGAGACUCUCCAGCCCGCAGAGUUGGGACGCAGCUUUUAGGAGUUGUGGCUUAUGCUGGGGUCAGCUUUUUCAUGACCCAUAGUGGCUGGCUAUGCUAGCCCAGUUCUUGAAAGUAAUCUCUUACCCUCCCCGUAAGACUCACUGGUUUACCAAGACAGAGUUGGUGGAAUUCAGGUAGGAAAGUUGUAGAGAUAGUUAAGUAACCCAGGAUGCCACUUGGCUAGAGUAAUAUACACACUGUUUUCCGUACAAUACAUGUAUCAACCUGGGACUUCCACCACAUACAAACAUACACCUGGCUUCCAAUAAGCAGUAGGUCAUUCCUUUCUAACAGCUGUUUGGUAACUUUUCUUUUGUGGCCAAAAACAUCUCAAAACUUUACCUGAAACUAAGUGAAAUGGGUCAAUCUGGCUGAUGAGGUUUUGGGAGCAUAUGAAGUAAGUCAAACAUGUCCUUUGAAUAAGUGUUUAGAGGGAAAUCCCUGUAAUUUGGCAAUGUUAAUUAUUAAUUAAAAAUAAUAGUAAUAUUAUACUAAUGCAUGACUAAAAGCAGAUGCAUCAUGGGUAAAGACAUGUGCAGCGAACAAAGGCUUACAUAUCCAAGCCAAACAGUCAAAAGGCCGCCUACAUCCUGGGCCUUAGCAAUCAGCUCCUCCUAGACCACAAAGGAAAGUUCCAGGAGGUGACCAUGGGUUCUUGAGCACUCUAGGUCGCCUUCUGUGCUCUUGCUGUGUAUCUGACCUGUUUUCUCUUUGCUUCUGAAUAAAAACCUCUUGCUA
rnacentral:lncRNA from 1 species